UACGUAGGGUGCGAGCGUUAAUCGGAAUUACUGGCGUAAAGGGCGCGUAGGCGGUCAGCACAAGUCAGUUGUGAAAUCUCCGGGCUUAACCCGGAAAGGUCAACUGAUACUGUGCGACUAGAGUGCGGGAAGGGGCAACUGGAAUUCUCGGUGUAGCGGUGAAAUGCGUAGAUAUCGAGAGGAACACCUGCGGCGAAGGCGGGUUGCUGGGCCGACACUGACGCUGGAUGCGCGAAAGCCAGGGGAGCGAACGGG
rnacentral:rRNA from 1 species